AGUGAACGCUGGCGGUAGGCCUAACACAUGCAAGUCGAACGGCAGCACAGUAAGAGCUUGCUCUUACGGGUGGCGAGUGGCAGACGGGUGAGGAAUACAUCGGAAUCUACUUUUUCGUGGGGGAUAACGUAGGGAAACUUACGCUAAUACCGCAUACGACCUACGGGUGAAAGCAGGGGAUCUUCGGACCUUGCGCGAUUGAAUGAGCCGAUGUCGGAUUAGCUAGUUGGCGGGGUAAAGGCCCACCAAGGCGACGAUCCGUAGCUGGUCUGAGAGGAUGAUCAGCCACACUGGAACUGAGACACGGUCCAGACUCCUACGGGAGGCAGCAGUGGGGAAUAUUCGACAAUGGGCGCAAGCCUGAUCCAGCCAUACCGCGUGGGUGAAGAAGGCCUUCGGGUUGUAAAGCCCUUUUGUUGGGAAAGAAAAGCAGCAGGUUAAUACCCCGCUGUUCUGACGGUACCCAAAGAAUAAGCACCGGCUAACUUCGUG
rnacentral:rRNA from 1 species